CAUACUGACGUAGUUAAACAGUAUUGGCUGAACUCUUAUGUAAGAUGUUGAGUUAAUCCUUAUUAUAAGAAAUUGUGUCAAAGGUGAGAUUUUCUGAAAGUCUAGAGCAGGGGUCACAAACUCAAAGGCCUUUAGGAACCGGAAAGUGAAGUGUAGCAAGGCCAGGCCAAAUUCAGAAGAGGUGACUGAAAUGAUGCUGCCCGAUCAAAAAAUCGUUUGGUCUUCAGAAUUGAGCUCAUAGGAUCUUUUAACACGAAUCAGCUGGCUGGAGGAAUUUUGGAAGGGGUGAGGCAUACACUUUCUUCUAUGUUCCUGAAACCACAACAUUGUUAGGACUCAUCUGUUCAUGAGACCAGACCAAUAGAAAAUGAGCACUUCGUGGAUAAAAAAUACAGAUGGAAACUUAGUGGUAUUCCAAAGCUGAGACUGAGACUGAAUGCUAAUAGGGGACACAAUUAUGAAUUGAAAAUAGUGCUGCUCCUCAAAGAGAUAAUUCGGUGUACAGCAACAACAGUAUAUUUAUGUUUACAUAUUGCCAGAAGGACUUCGUACCAGUGCCCAAUGAUGACAUUUACCAGAGGCCACAACACAUGUGGCAUUGCAGGCGAUUGAAUACAGAAGCAGAUCUGAGGAUCCAGCUGUCUACUACUACUAUAUAUGAGUUGUAAAAUGUAAAAUAAUGUUACUCUUCUCACUAAAUCUGUGUCCAUUUCUGCACAGUAUCUUACUUUUAACUUAUAAUACAGAAAA
rnacentral:lncRNA from 1 species